UGUCAUGUGUUUCGCAUGUGUGCCUUAGGUUCAGCUAUGUUUUUAUGGAAAGUAGACAUUUUAUCUGGUGGACGAGGCCGAAUUGCCGGGGAAAGGAAGUGACAGUGUCGUGAGCCUGGCCCACCACUACUUUCAGCACUAUGGUGUCGGUGAAAAACAUGCUGAGGUUUAUUUCGAUAAUGCUGUCGGCCAAAACAAGAACAAUGCUGUGCUUUGGUAUGCCAUGUGACCUGUAAUGACAGGACUGCAUGAGAGUGUAACACUAAACACUAUGUUGGCUGGGCACACCAAAUUUGCUCCUGACUGUCACUUCGGCAACUGGAAGGUCCAGUGGCGAUGUUGUAAUGCCGAGAAUCUUCAAGAAAUUGCCCACACUGUUUUCACCUCUUCAAAGUCCGGCCACAACAUCCCACACUUGGUUUAUGACCCUCAACAGCCAAUCACAGUUCACAGUUGGAAAUCAUUCCUAGAUACAUAUUUCAAAACUCUAAAGAAUAUUACCAAAUACCACCAUUUCUAUGUAUCAAAACAUAAACCAGGAGUUUAGUAUGCAAAGAGUUUGUAGAUUCCUCAGAAAUUGAAGUUAUUCUUUUGAGGAUGAGUCCAGA